CACAUAUGUUCGGGGGAGGGACCCCAGAAGGCGGCUGACAGUAUUCCUUUAGCCAGAAAUCCCUUCAGGGAAGAGAAAGGUGCUCCCCUUUGCCUGCUUUUAUACUACAGACUGUUUCCAACUCCAGCUAGAAGUGACUAUUGCCGAUUAUGCUAAUCAGUGGCGACAAGCUCCCUUUGACUGCUCACUUCUCCAGUGAGGCUUCAAGCUUCUAGGCAUCAAGAUUAGUAAGGCUGUCUUCUGGGUGGGCCAGUUUGUUUCUCAGUGACACGAAAACAUUGCCUGGGGUGUGCACUGGUAUUUUCCAGAAAAUAUUUCAAGCAGAAUAUACUUAUUUUCCAGUUUUGAAAACAACUAGAUUGCCCAUCUCCAUUUCUCUCUAUCAUCUACUGUAUUAUUCUAUGGACAACUGCCACCCUAAUAAGAAGAAAGCUCUGAUGAAAAGAUGAGAAAUAGAUUUAAUGAGGGAUAAUUGAUGAGAGUAGACUGAAGAAAAUGGAUCUAACAAAUUGGUCAAUGGAGCAACAAAUGAAACCCAGGCAAUGGAAAUAUGUCACUAGGUCAAGAAGGGAAGCCAGAAGUCAAGGCCACAGAAGACACAGGAAACAUCAUUUCCAAAGUGGGAGACAAAGCUGUUAACAGGAAAUUAUUUGUAAAGUCAAGAGCCAAGCAAAACAGAAAAAGGACAAGAAAUCUAUCACCUGUGGGUAUGAAUGGUUCUAGGGAAGUCUGUUGACAAUUGGAGGGUCUCAAAGGCGCUUUAUGGUACUUAUUUUAUGACCCUGAGUCUGGAGUCUGAUGAAUUAAAGAGGAAAUUCUGCUCUGGGCAACAUUUAA
ensembl:lncRNA MIR4307HG MIR4307 host gene